rnacentral:rRNA from 1 species
AUUGAACGCUGGCGGCAGGCCUAACACAUGCAAGUCGAGCGGAUGACGGGAGCUUGCUCCUUGAUUCAGCGGCGGACGGGUGAGUAAUGCCUAGGAAUCUGCCUGGUAGUGGGGGACAACGUUUCGAAAGGAACGCUAAUACCGCAUACGUCCUACGGGAGAAAGCAGGGGACCUUCGGGCCUUGCGCUAUCAGAUGAGCCUAGGUCGGAUUAGCUAGUUGGUGGGGUAAUGGCUCACCAAGGCGACGAUCCGUAACUGGUCUGAGAGGAUGAUCAGUCACACUGGAACUGAGACACGGUCCAGACUCCUACGGGAGGCAGCAGUGGGGAAUAUUGGACAAUGGGCGAAAGCCUGAUCCAGCCAUGCCGCGUGUGUGAAGAAGGUCUUCGGAUUGUAAAGCACUUUAAGUUGGGAGGAAGGGCAGUAAGUUAAUACCUUGCUGUUUUGACGUUACCGGCAGAAUAAGCACCGGCUAACUCUGUGCCAGCCGCCGCGGUAACAC